UACGUAGGGAGCAAGCGUUGUCCGGAUUUAUUGGGCGUAAAGCGCGCGUAGGCGGUUUGGUAAGUCGGGUGUGAAACCUCCAAGCUUAACUUGGAGCCGCCAUCCGAAACUGCCAUGACUUGAGUCUGGUAGGGGAACACGGAAUACCUGGUGUAGCGGUGAAAUGCUUAGAUAUCAGGUGGAACACCAGUGGCGAAGGCGGUGUUCUGGGCCAGUACUGACGCUGAUGCGCGAAAGCGUGGGGAGCGAACAGG
rnacentral:rRNA from 1 species